GGGGUGAUAGCUCAGUUGGUAGAGCGCACGCUUCGCAGGAGUGACUGCGUGAGGCCCAGGGUUCGACUCCCUGUUACUCCA